UCGCGCAACCUAUUAUAAGCUGAACGCGCACUACCUGUGUGGCAAGUUAAGCAACGUUGAGUCCAGUUAGUACUUGGAUCGGAGACGGCCUGGGAAUCCUGGAUGUUGUAAGCU
rfam:Caenorhabditis japonica strain DF5081 Contig1310.1, whole genome shotgun sequence.